rnacentral:rRNA from 1 species
UACGGAGGGUGCGAGCGUUGUCCGGAAUCAUUGGGCGUAAAGGGCGCGUAGGUGGCGGGACAAGCGUGCGGUGAAAGCUCGGGGCUCAACCCCGCGUCGGCCGUGCGAACUGUUUUGCUUGAGCACUGUAGAGGCAGGCGGAAUUCCGGGUGUAGCGGUGGAAUGCGUAGAGAUCCGGAAGGAACGCCGGUGGCGAAAGCGGUCUGCUGGCCCUCUACUGACGCUGAGGCGCGAAAGCCAGGGGAGCAAACGGG